GACGUAGGGGAUAAGCGUUGUUCGGAAUUAUUGGGCGUAAAGGGCAUGUAGGCGGUUUCUCAAGCUUGGCGUGAAAUGGUUCGGCUUAACCGAAUCCUGCGUCGAGAACUGGGAGACUAGAAUCACUGAGGGGGAAUCAGAAUUCCAGGUGUAGGGGUGAAAUCUGUAGAUAUCUGGAAGAAUACCAGUGGCGAAGGCGGAUUCCUGGCAGAUGAUUGACGCUGAGGUGCGAAGGUAUGGGGAGCAAACAGG
rnacentral:rRNA from 1 species